rnacentral:ncRNA from 1 species
CUGCCAUAGGAAGUCGUCGAUUUUUCACGGAGUACGAAACCCGUAAGGCGAAAUGAAGGUGAACGCCGGCGCGGUCCGGCGGAGGUUGGAUCCCGUCCCGUCGGGGCGGGCGCACUACCGGCCGAUCUUCUCCGCCCUGUCGGCGAGGUCGAGCGAGAGCGUGCAAGUCGGGACCCGAAAGAUGGUGAACUAUGCCUGAGGAGGUUGAAGCCAGAGGAAACUCUGGUGGAGGACCGUAGCGAUUCUGACGUGCAAAUCGAUCGUCAAAUUUGGGUAUAGGGGCGAAAGACUAAUCGAACCGUCUAGUAGCUGGUUCCCUUCGAAGUUUCCCUCAGGAUAGCUGGCGCUCUGUCGCAGUUUUAUCUGGUAAAGCGAAUGAUUAGAGGUCUUGGGGGCGAAACGCCCUCAACCUAUUCUCAAACUUUAAAUUGGUAAGAAGCCCGACUCGCUCGUUUGGAGCCGGGCAUGGAAUGCGAGUGCCAAGUGGGCCACUCUUGGUAAGCAGGACUGGCGAUGCGGGAUGAACCGAACGCCGGGUUAAGGCGCCCGACGCGACGCUCAUCAGAGCCCACAAAAGGUGUUGGUUGAUAUAGACAGCAGGACGGUGGCCAUGGAAGUCGGAAACCGCUAAGGAGUGUGUAACAACUCACCUGCCGAAUCAAUCAGCCCUGAAAAUGGAUGGCGCU